rnacentral:rRNA from 1 species
GUCGUGAGUUCGAUGAGUAGGGCGGGACACGUGACAUCCUGUCUGAAUAUGGGGGGACCAUCCUCCAAGGCUAAAUACUCCUGACUGACCGAUAGUGAACCAGUACCGUGAGGGAAAGGCGAAAAGAACCCCGGCGAGGGGAGUGAAAUAGAACCUGAAACCGUGUACGUACAAGCAGUGGGAGCACCUUCGUGGUGUGACUGCGUACCUUUUGUAUAAUGGGUCAGCGACUUAUAUUUUGUAGCAAGGUUAACCGUAUAGGGGAGCCGUAGGGAAACCGAGUCUUAACUGGGCGAAUAGUUGCAAGGUAUAGACCCGAAACCCGGUGAUCUAGCCAUGGGCAGGUUGAAGGUUGGGUAACACUAACUGGAGGACCGAACCGACUAAUGUUGAAAAAUUAGCGGAUGACUUGUGGCUGGGGGUGAAAGGCCAAUCAAACCGGGAGAUAGCUGGUUCUCCCCGAAAGCUAUUUAGGUAGCGCCUCGUGAACUCAUCUUCGGGGGUAGAGCACUGUUUCGGCUAGGGGGCCAUCCCGGCUUACCAAACCGAUGCAAACUCCGAAUACCGAAGAAUGUUAUCACGGGAGACACACGGCGGGUGCUAACGUCCGUCGUGAAGAGGGAAACAACCCAGACCGCCAGCUAAGGUCCCAAAGUCAUGGUUAAGUGGGAAACGAUGUGGGAAGGCAUAGACAGCCAGGAUGUUGGCUUAGAAGCAGCCAUCAUUUAAAGAAAGCGUAAUAGCUCACUGGUCGAGUCGGCCUGCGCGGAAGAUGUAACGGGGCUAAACCAUGCACCGAAGCUGCGGCAGCGACGCUUAGGCGUUGUUGGGUAGGGGAGCGUUCUGUAAGCCGUUGAAGGUGGCCUGUGAGGGUUGCUGGAGGUAUCAGAAGUGCGAAUGCUGACAUAAGUAACGAUAAAGCGGGUGAAAAGCCCGCUCGCCGGAAGACCAAGGGUUCCUGUCCAACGUUAAUCGGGGCAGGGUGAGUCGACCCCUAAGGCGAGGCUGAAAAGCGUAGUCGAUGGGAAACAGGUUAAUAUUCCUGUACUUGGUGUUACUGCGAAGGGGGGACGGAGAAGGCUAGGCUAGCCGGGCGACGGUUGUCCCGGUUUAAGCGUGUAGGGGGUGUGACCUGGUAAAUCCGGUUGCAUAUUAACCCUGAGGCGUGAUGACGAUGCACUACGGUGCAGAAGUAGUUGAUGCCCUGCUUCCAGGAAAAUCCUCUAAGCUCCAGGUAACAUUAAAUCGUACCCCAAACCGACACAGGUGGUCAGGUAGAGAAUACCAAGGCGCUUGAGAGAACUCGGGUGAAGGAACUAGGCAAAAUGGUGCCGUAACUUCGGGAGAAGGCACGCUGGCAUGUAGGUGAAGUCCCUUGCGGAUGGAGCUGAAGCCAGUCGAAGAUACCAGCUGGCUGCAACUGUUUAAUAAAAACACAGCACUGUGCAAACACGAAAGUGGACGUAUACGGUGUGACGCCUGCCCGGUGCUGGAAGGUUAAUUGAUGGGGUCAGCCGCAAGGCGAAGCUCUUGAUCGAAGCCCCAGUAAACGGCGGCCGUAACUAUAACGGUCCUAAGGUAGCGAAAUUCCUUGUCGGGUAAGUUCCGACCUGCACGAAUGGCGUAAUGAUGGCCAGGCUGUCUCCACCCGAGACUCAGUGAAAUUGAACUCGCUGUGAAGAUGCAGUGUACCCGCGGCAAGACGGAAAGACCCCGUGAACCUUUACUAUAGCUUGACACUGAACAUUGAGCCUUGAUGUGUAGGAUAGGUGGGAGGCUUUGAAGCGUGGACGCCAGUCUGCGUGGAGCCAUCCUUGAAAUACCACCCUUUAAUGUUUGAUGUUCUAACUCGGCCCCAUAAUCUGGGGUGAGGACAGUGUCUGGUGGGUAGUUUGACUGGGGCGGUCUCCUCCCAAAGAGUAACGGAGGAGCACGAAGGUUAGCUAAUCACGGUCGGACAUCGUGAGGUUAGUGCAAAGGCAUAAGCUAGCUUGACUGCGAGAGUGACGGCUCGAGCAGGUACGAAAGUAGGUCUUAGUGAUCCGGUGGUUCUGAAUGGAAGGGCCAUCGCUCAACGGAUAAAAGGUACUCCGGGGAUAACAGGCUGAUACCGCCCAAGAGUUCAUAUCGACGGCGGUGUUUGGCACCUCGAUGUCGGCUCAUCACAUCCUGGGGCUGAAGUAGGUCCCAAGGGUAUGGCUGUUCGCCAUUUAAAGUGGUACGCGAGCUGGGUUUAGAACGUCGUGAGACAGUUCGGUCCCUAUCUGCCGUGGGCGUUGGAAGAUUGAGAGGGGUUGCUCCUAGUACGAGAGGACCGGAGUGAACGCACCACUGGUGUUCGGGUUGUCAUGCCAAUGGCAUUGCCCGGUAGCUAAGUGCGGAAAAGAUAAGCGCUGAAAGCAUCUAAGCGCGAAACUUGCCUCAAGAUGAGUCUUCCCUGGGCCUUUAAGGCCCCUGAAGGAACGUUUAAGACUAAGACGUUGAUAGGCUGGGUGUGUAAGUGCAGCGAUGCAUUGAGCUAACCAGUACUAAUGAUCCGUGAGGCUUAACCUU